UAGGGAAUCUUCAGCAAUGGACGAAAGUCUGACCGAGCAACGCCGCGUGAGUGAAGAAGGUUUUCGGAUCGUAAAACUCUGUUGUUAGAGAAGAACAAGGACGUUAGUAACUGAACGUCCCCUGACGGUAUCUAACCAGAAAGCCACGGCUAACUACGUGCCAGCAGCCGCGGUAAUACGUAGGUGGCAAGCGUUGUCCGGAUUUACUGGGCGUCAAGCGAGCGCAGGCGGUUUCUUAAGUCUGAUGUGGAAGCCCCCGGCUCAACCGGGGAGGGUCAUUGGAAACUGGGAGACUUGAGUGCAGAAGAGGAGAGUGGAAUUCCAUGUGUAGCAGUGAAAUGCCUAGAUAUAUGGAGGAACAACAGUGGCGAAGGCGGCUCUCUGGUCUGUAACUGACGCUGAGGCUCGAAAGCGUGGGGAGCAAACAGG
rnacentral:rRNA from 1 species